CUUGCUUCCUUGCCGGCGAGCGGCGGACGGGUGAGUAAGGUAUGGGGAUCUGGCCGAAGGCGGGGGAUAACCACUGGAAACGGUGGCUAAUACCGCAUAAUCUCUAAGGAGCAAAGUGGGGGACCGUUCUGGCCUCACACCUUCGGAUGAACCCAUAUGAGAUUAGCUAGUAGGUGGGGUAAUGGCUCACCUAGGCGACGAUCUCUAGCUGGUCUGAGAGGAUGAUCAGCCACACUGGGACUGAGACACGGCCCAGACUCCUACGGGAGGCAGCAGUGGGGAAUAUUGCACAAUGGGCGCAAGCCUGAUGCAGCCAUGCCGCGUGUAUGAAGAAGGCCUUCGGGUUGUAAAGUACUUUCAGUCGUGAGGAAGGUGUUAAGGUUAAUAACCUUAGCAAUUGACGUUAGCGACAGAAGAAGCACCGGCUAACUCCGUGCCAGCAGCCGCGGUAAUACGGAGGGUGCGAGCGUUAAUCGGAAUUACUGGGCGUAAAGGGCACGCAGGCGGUUAAUUAAGUUGGAUGUGAAAUCCUCGGGCUUAACCUGGGAAUGGCAUUCAAGACUGGUUAGCUAGAGUCUUGUAGAGGGGGGUAGAAUUCCAUGUGUAGCGGUGAAAUGCGUAGAGAUGUGGAGGAAUACCGAUGGCGAAGGCGGCCCCCUGGACAAAGACUGACGCUCAUGUGCGAAAGCGUGGGUAGCAAACAGGAUUAGAUACCCUGGUAGUCCACGCUGUAAACGAUGUCGAUUUG
rnacentral:rRNA from 1 species